AAUAAUGAUGAAAAAAUGGUCGCUUAUCAAUGCUUCAGAUCUAUCUGUGAUGGAAACAAAUAAAUUAACCAUUCAGAACCGCUACACUGAUU
rnacentral:snoRNA from 1 species